rnacentral:rRNA from 1 species
GACGAACGCUGGCGGCGUGCUUAACACAUGCAAGUCGAACGGAAAGGCCCUGCUUGCAGGGUACUCGAGUGGCGAACGGGUGAGUAACACGUGGGUGAUCUGCCCUGCACUUCGGGAUAAGCCUGGGAAACUGGGUCUAAUACCGGAUAGGAGCCAUUUUUAGUGUGAUGGUUGGAAAGUUUUUUCGGUGUAGGAUGAGCUCGCGGCCUAUCAGCUUGUUGGUGGGGUAAUGGCCUACCAAGGCGGCGACGGGUAGCCGGCCUGAGAGGGUGGACGGCCACAUUGAGACUGAGAUACGGCCCAGACUCCUACGGGAGGCAGCAGUGGGGAAGAUUGCACAAUGGGCGUAAGCCUGAUGCAGCGACGCCGCGUGGGGGAUGACGGCCUUCGGGUUGUAAACUCCUUUCGCUAGGGACGAAGCUUUUUGUGACGGUACCUAGAUAAGAAGCACCGGCUAACUACGUG